rnacentral:tRNA from 1 species
GAGCAGUUCCAAGGUGGGUAUCUAUUUUCGGCGUAGAGAGAGGGGGUUCGAGUCCCCCACUGCUUA